UUGCGGUUAAAAAGCUCGUAGUUGGAUUUCUGUUGGGAACGACCGGUCCGCCCAUUGGGUGUGCAUCUGGCUUGUUCUCGGCAUCUUCUUGGUGAACGUUGCUGCACUUGACUGUGUGGAGCGCUACCCAGGACUUUUACUUUGAGGAAAUUAGAGUGUUUCAAGCAGGCAUAUGCCUUGAAUACAUUAGCAUGGAAUAAUAAGAUAGGACCUCGGUUCUAUUUUGUUGGUUUCUAGAGCUGAGGUAAUGAUUAAUAGGGAUAGUUGGGGGCAUUCGUAU
rnacentral:rRNA from 1 species